GUGCCGCGGCUCGGGACUGAGCUGGCUUUAAGCCGAUGGCUCCGGUGGUGUCAACGCUACGGGCCGAGGCUGGGGCCGGGGGCCGGGCCAGGCCUCUCCCCCAGCGGGUGCUGGAGCAGUAUCUGCUGCUGCUGCGUCUCUACCCGGUGCUCACCAAGGCGGCCACCAGACAAGGCUCUGAUUUCCAAAGCCGGCAAGCACCUUCCUGGUUUAAGCUCAGUUGGCAUUCACUUCAAUGCAGGAGUCAGACCAGCUCUUAUCUAGUCACCUCUGUCUCCAAGAUAUGUCUUGCACCUGUCACCUUCCUCCACUGACCCCACAACCAACCUAGUCCAGGCCCUCAUCAGCUCCCUCCUGGACUGUCGAGAUAGCCUCCCAGCCUUGGCCUCCCUACCUCCAGUCUCCUUUAUCCAGUCUGUCAGAUAUACAGCAACCCAAAUGACAUUUCUACAGAACACAUCUGACUUGUGACUUGUGGGGCAGCCUGGCCUAGUGGAUAGACUGGUAGUGUGGCCGCAGAUUGAGGAAGACCAGUUUUCACUCCUGAUAUACACUGACUGUAUGACCCUGGGCGAAUAAUUCAUCUCACCUGUCAGUGGUCCAGGCAGCUCUCCAAAACCAAGCAGGUGAACAGGUGCUGAUCUACAUUGCUAGAAGAGCCUUCCUGAGAGGUUCCCUACAUCACAGAAAUCACAGUGGGAUUCUAUCAGCAUUUGGGAACUUCCUGUCCCAGAUCAUUGAGAGAGUCCGGAAAAGGGGAAGAUGGUUUCAAAAUCUGGACCUCACAGGGCCUCUCAGAUAUGCUAUUUUUGGCUUCCUCUUCUCAGGGCCUCUCAGUCACUUCUUCUACCUGUACCUGGACCACUGGAUCCCUGCUGCAAUCCCCUUUUCAGGAGUCAGGAGGCUUCUGUUGGACCGGCUUGUCUUUGCCCCGGCCUUCCUGUUGUUGUUCUUCUUCUGCAUGAACCUUCUUGAGGGAAAAGACAUGGCAGCCUUUUCUGCAAAGGUGAAAACAGGUUACUGGCCUGCUCUACAAAUGAACUGGAAAGUAUGGACCCCAAUUCAGUUUAUUAACAUUAACUAUAUUCCUCUGCAGUUCCGGGUGCUGUUUGCCAACAUAGUCGCUCUCUUCUGGUACACCUACUUGGCCUCUCUUGGAAAGUGAAGAUGCCCUGGGAAGCAAGCAGGUUCAACACAGUCCCUUGGCCUGGAAGGCCUCGGGACAGGCAAUGGCUCAUCCUGACAGGGUUUGCAGCUGAACUGGCCUUCAAAGUCUUCAUUGAAGUAUUAAUGACUCUAUGUGAUUCUACAUGAUCCAGAAGUACGGGUGUGACAAUAAAUUGGUCAACAUGGAAUCUUGUGUCCAAGAUAGGCAGUAGGUCUUUUUGGAUGGGUGCUAUUCUUUAAAUGGAAAUUUUAGCCUUUAAAGAAUCAUUAGUAUUCAGAAGUAAAUUUGGCAUAAAUUGAAAUUAAAAUAAGUUACAAUGUCACUUCUUCA